UCUCCUGAUUCCUGACCCUUGCCACGCCCCCUUUGUCUAUUGCAGCCCACCCCAACCCCCUUAAGGUUUCUGAGCCUACCUGGGGGCUGCAGGACCCACACUCAGUCUGCAUCCUGCUUCCCUGCUGCCCCUUGGGUCCUCACAGCAGCUUUUCCGUCUCCUGCCCGCAAGUAACAGCAGAAUACCAGACUUACCGAAGGUUUGAGGGAGAGAAGGAUUAGUCUGCAGUCAAGCAUCGUACAGGCAGCAGCUUAAAAGUAUGUAUGAAAUAGCAGUGUUCCUUAAUUCUACCAACCGUUCUCUGGCUUCAGCUAUGGCCCCCAGAGAGCGCCCUUAGAUGUCUGCCCGGGGUGAGGCUCGUCUCAUCCCGAAGCCCAACAACACAUGCGUAUUUUCUUUUCACUCACCAGUCCCCAUUCCUGCCAUUUCCCUGUGUUUCGGUCUGCAGUCCCUCCCCUCACUAAGAUCUGGGUUUGUCUUCGGGUGUCCAACACUCACGAAUGAAUAGAAGAGUGUGUCCCCCAUGGCAGCAUACUCCAGCAGCAGGAGCUCUGAAGCCAGUUUCCCGCAUCCUUAGGCAGCUGGGGUCGGCUGGAUUUGGUUUAUUUGUUUGGGAUGAAGCAUUCAGUAAAUGUUUGCUGAACGAAUGAGAGAGCUCAUGAGAGGAACUAACUGAGCUUAACAAAUAGUGAGAAAGCAGGAAAUAUUUGUUGAAGAAUAGAACGAAUCAGUGGCUUGGCUCUGGACGCGCAGGCUCAGCGGCCAUAGCUCACGGGCCCAGCCGCUCCGCGGCAUGUGGGAUCUUCCAGGACCAGGGCACGAAGCUGUGUCCCCUGCAUUGGCAGGCGGACUCCCAACCACUGUGCCACCAGGGAAGCCCCAAGGGCAAAGGUUUUGGAGGCAGAAGUGUGCUUGAUGCCUUCAAGAAAUAGGAAGGAGGCCCGUGAGGCCACCAUGGGGAACAGCAUCAGGUACGUCGCAAGGUCGGGUCGGGCAUGACUGGCCUGAGCGACCUACUCACCGCCUUGGAGAUGGAGGGUAAUGGCAGCCCCAGACCCAUCUACUCUGCCAGCCUCAUGGGAACUUCCAGAGAUAAGAAGCAUACAGAAAGAUGAUGAUACAAAGUCAAGCCAAGACCACAAAGAUGCCAGAGCUUCGAACCUCUUCCAACCUCACCCCAUGAUCCAGCUUCUGGUUCAACAUUUGCAAGAGAGGAAACUCACAAACUAGGUGGACUUCAGGGUCUUCCAGAGCUGAGCAAAUGAAGAUGUCCGGGAAGUGACCAUGACAUUGUCUUCUGGGUUGAAGAGCCCUACAACACCAACAGCAGUGUGAUGCUCCGAAGCGAGCGCAGCCACAGGAGUUAACAGCUGCCUUAGAAUUUCCUCACAUUCAUUCGUUCACUUGAGAAUAUUUAAAUUAGAACCAUCUACAUCUGGUCCAGCAAUCUGACUUUCGCAGAGGCCCAAGUAGAUACUGUUGUGGGACAAACAGGACAAUCUCUCCAAUGUCACCCUCGAACGACCAGAGAAGAGCACCCUCAAAUCCCAGACAGUGAUCUGUCAGGCAUGAACUUAGCUAAACUUUUCAAUAGUGAUGUUAUUCAUGUUUUUGGCUGUCAUCACUUCUUGACCGAACAAGCUCAGCAUUGCCGUCAAUCAAUUCCUUGCACAUUUGAUUUUGACAGGAUGUCUGCUUCUUUGAGAACCUGAACUAACACAGGAACCACUAUUCUGCUCUCCUUUAGAGUCCACUCCACCCACUCCCAGAUGUUUCCAGGAGGCAUCUCACAUGUAGAUGGCUGAGAGGUGUAGACAACAGUACUUUGAGAGCCUUGAGGAGCUAAGGGAAUAAAAAUUGGAGUAUUAAAAAAAAAAAGAAAAGAAAAGAAAAAAAAUUGGAGUAUAAGGAUGAUUGAAAAAGAGAGCCUCUAGUAAACUUCCAAUGCAUUGGUUUCAGAUCCUGAAGGUCUACACUUGCACAGCGAAUGUGGAAAUAGAUGAGUCUUCACAUAGAACACAGCUUCCAAUCACCUCCAGCCCUGAAAUGGGAUUAGGUUGAUCCUUGAUUGUUAGAACUUAAACUAUCUCCCAGAAACAAAUAUAAAUUCUCUCUGAGGAAAGAUGGCAUUCCUUUUUUAAAAAAAAAUUUAUUUAAUUUAUUUAUUUUUGGCUGCAUUGGGUCUUCGUUCCUGCACGCAGGCUUUCUCUAGUUGCAUCGAGCGGGGGCUACUCUUUGUUGCGGUGCGCAGGCUUCUCAUUGCAGUGUCUUCUCUUGUCGUGGAGCACGGGCUCUAGGUGCGUGGGCUUCAGUAGUUGUGGCGUGAGGGCUCAGUAAUUGUGGCUCGCGGGCUCUAGAUCGCAGGCUCCGUAGUUGUGGUGCAUGGGCUUAGUUGCUCCGUGGCAUGUGAGAUCUUCCCGUACCAGGACUCGAACCCAUGUCCCCUGCAUUGGCAGGCGGAUUCUUAACCACUGUGCCACCAGGGAAGCCCAAGACGGCAUUCUUGUAGGACUUAAAUUACCCUAUAAUUUUGCAUCUACAAUGUCUGAAAUUCAACAAAAAAUAACCAAGCACACAAUGAGACCAGAUAACAUUACUAAAAUCCAUGAAAAACAUGAGACAAUAGAAACAGAGCCAGAGGAGAUACAGAAAAUGGAGUUGCUGCAGAUUUUAAGAUAAGUGUUCUGACUAUAUUCAAAGAGAUCAAAUACAAGACUGAGAAUUUUGUAGAGAAAAAUGGGUGGCAGGCAUAACAUUUGCUCUGGGAUAGAGGUAAACAAGGUAGACCCCUCUACCUACCUUUGAAGAUUCUUCCCUGAUACCCCAGGUAGUCAAGAUGCUUCUUCCUCCCUCUGGCUCCUAUAUGGGAAUGGUUUUUGUUUUGUUUUGUUAGCUGCCCUUAAUUCACUUCCUAUUCUUCAGUCUCCCCCAGUUUCCUUUUGGAUAUAGUCUGGUGGUAUCGUUAUCAGCUGUCCUCUUCCAGCCAAGGGAACAGCAUAUGACCCAGGCUAGACCAAGGAGACCCUCGCUCUCCCGUGUGGAAAUUGACUCUUGAACUGAACGGCCAAGAUAAAAAAUAGUUGUUUUGUCCAGCAGCUCCUGCCUGGUGACCACCCCUCCCACCCUCCCAUCUCCCCACCUCCCCACCCGCAGAGCUGAUGGGUGCUACCCAUUUUCACCCCUGGUCUCUAUGUGGGGCUCUCCACAUUCUUUCCAUAAGUCCCUUUUUUUGCUUAAUUGUCCCAGUGUCAGUUUCUGUUGCUUGCAAACAAAGAACCCUGAUGUAGCCCCUACUUUAGUUUUAAUCACUUAAAAAGUGUUUAUUGAGCACAUACUAUGCGUCAGGCACCCCCCCCCCCCACUACACAUGGGGGAUGACACAGUAAAAAAAAGAAUAUCUGCCUUCCUGAGGCUCUCAGUAAAAUGGGAAAGAAAACAUUGAAUAACUAGUCCCCCAACAGGCCAUAGAGUGACAAGUGUGACAAAGGUCAAAUUCAGGAUAUUAAGCAAGUGUGUCUCUAGGAUCUUAAUUUAGGUUGGGCCCAAGGAGAUAGCAUAAAGGAUGACACGUGUAAGCAGAGACCUAAAGACUGAGUGAAGAACAUUCCAGGAAGAAGGGACAACCUCUGUAAAGGAAGACCUGAGGCAGGAAGUAGGGUUGCCUGUCUUGACCUGACCUUGGCCUUUGCUCAUUUAUCUGGUGGGACUUGACCAGGCCCAUUCCAGCCUCUUCCUGGUCUGCCACCACCUGGGGCGAUAGUCUUGGUGCAGGAACUCAGCUAUCUUUCUCCAUGGGCUCCCUGCCCUUUAUACUAAGGCUCAAGGCAACAAGUCAAGUCGGUCACCUCCAGUGAAUGUUAGCAAUGUGAGAGGUGUGGUGAAUGCUGAGCUGUACCUCCCUGACCCCCCCUUCAUGACUGAAGGACUCACUCCCCACCCCUGCUGUGAGUGCUGCAGGCAGACAACCUUCAGCUGUCAGUCUUACUUCGAAAGCAGUCAGGUCUGGGGCUCCAUCCCAUGUUCAGAACUCUUGAGACUUCCUUUGAGACUACAUUGUCUCAGCUUCUCCCUCUGCACAAUCCUGCUUCCUCCCCUCCACUUCUACAGGCUCUGGUCCCAACAGUGUUCCCUACGAACGUCCUGCAAGCUAAUCAUCAUCUCAGAUGAUGAUUCACCAGAAUCAAGGGUGAGAAGACUGUGUCUGAGCCUGUCCCAUCCUUACCGCGUUAGCUUAGACCAGCCUCAGUACUUACCACUGCGGUUGGUACCAGGCGCCAUGCCUAUCACACAGAAGGCAGGUCCACAAUAAGUGUUUGUUGAUUCAGACAGUGUAUGGAACUUUCUCUGUAAAUGUUUUUAAAACCCACACAAUUGUCAAUCAUUAUUAUUUAGAGUUGGAAAGGGAAAAAACCAUAAGACAACUCUAGUGAAAAAGUGAAAGAUGAACUUAUAUGUGGAAUCUAAAAAUUUUACAAAUCAAUCUACAUACAAAACAGAAACAGACUCACAGACAUAGAAAACAAACCUCUGAUUACCAAAGGGGAGAGGGAGGGAGUUGGGAGGAUUAAAUUAGGAGUAUGGGAUUAACAGAUACAAAAUACAAUACAUAAAAUAGA